rnacentral:rRNA from 1 species
GAGUAAAGAUUUCGGUCGCUUUGGGAGGAGCUCGCUUACUAUCAGCUUGUUGGUAGGGUAAUGGCCUACCAAGGCUAUGACGGUUAGGGGGUGUGAGAGCAUGACCCCCAGCAUUGGCACUGAAACACUGGCCAAACACCUACGGGUGGCUGCAGUCGAGAAUCUUCCACAAUGGGGGAAACCCUGAUGGAGCGAUGCUGCGUGCGGGAUGAAGGCCUUCGGGUUGUAAACCGCUUUUGUAGGGGACGAAAUUUUUGACGGUACCCUUUCGAAUAAGAGGUUGCUAACUCUGUGCCAGCAGCAGCGGUAAUACAGAGACCUCAAGCGUUAUCCGGAUUUACUGGGCGUAAAGCGUCUGUAGGGGGUUUAUUAAGUUCCAAGUAAAAUUUCAAGGCUCAACUUUGAAUUCGCUUGGAAAACUAAUAAACUGGAGUCUAGCAGAGGUGCAUGGAACUUGUGGUGUAGGAGUGAAAUCCGUUGAUAUCACAAGGAACACCAAAGGCGAAGGCAUUGCACUGGGCUAGCACUGACCCUGAGAGACGAAAGCGUGGGGAGCAAAACGGAUUAGAUACCCGUGUAGUCCACGCCCUAAACGAUGAAUGCUAAAUGUUUGGGGAUUCGACCCCCUGGGUGUUACAGCUAACGCGUUAAGCAUUCCGCCUGGGAAGUACGGCCGCAAGGCUAAAACUCAAAGGAAUAGACGGGGAUCCGCACAAGCGGUGGAGCGUCUGGUUUAAUUCGACAGUAAGCGUGGUACCUCACCAGGGUUUGACAUCCCUUGACAGCCUUGGAAACAAGGUUUCCUUCGGGCAAGGUGACAGGUGCUGCAUGGUCGUCGUCAGUUCGUGCCGUGAGGUGUUCCGUUAAGUCGGGAAACGAACGAAACCCCUAUUGCAUGUUACAAUUUCUCAUGCAAGACUGCCCGGAUAUACUGGGAGGAAGGUGGGGAUGACGUCAGAUCUGCAUGGUCCUUAUACCCUGGGCGACACAGGCGCUACAAUGGCAGAGACAAAGGGUUGCAAAACCGCAAGGUGAAGCUAAUCCCAAAAACUUUGUCUAAGUUCGGAUUGAAGGCUGCAAUUCGCCUUCAUGAAGCUGGAAUCGCUAGUAAUCGUGAAUCAGCCACGUCACGGUGAAUAUGUUCCCGGAUCUUGUACUCACCGCCCGUCACACCAAGAGAGUUGGUAGCUCC